UACGUAGGGUGCGAGCGUUGUCCGGAAUUAUUGGGCGUAAAGAGCUCGUAGGCGGUUUGUCACGUCGGAUGUGAAACCCCGGGGCUUAACUCCGGGCCUGCAUUCGAUACGGGCUGACUAGAGUUCGGCAGGGGAGACUGGAAUUCCUGGUGUAGCGGUGAAAUGCGCAGACUAUCAGGAGGAACACCGGUGGCGAAGGCGGGGUCUCUGGGGCCGAUACUGACGCUGAGGAGCGAAAGCGUGGGGAGCGAACAGG
rnacentral:rRNA from 1 species